ensembl:lncRNA
CUUUGGGGAUCACCGGCACCAAGAGUUGAACAAUAAUGAAAAGAUUCUUCCAAAAGAUUGUGUCUUCUUUGAAAGCUAAGGUGAGAGGAAAGAAGAACAGGAUAACACCCCCAAGAAGUCAUCUCAUGGGUCAAAGGAAAUAUCACCGGAACUGUUCAACUCAAGCAUUUUCAAUCACAGUGAAAACACACCAUUGAAGAUGAAGUUUGGGGUAAGCUGUAAAAGCCUACACAGCUUGCUUGAGUGGACGGAGCAGCAUUUCCAGAUUCAUUCUCAAACUGCUGUGUCUGCACCACCUCCUUGGAGGAAAUGAUUAACUCUGAGAUGGACUUAGAAGAGAAAGCGAUUGCGGUGAGCUUUGCCCUAAAGCCCUGUGCUACUGUAUAGGCUUUUUUUGCAGGCAUGAGA